UGAGGAAUAUUGGUCAAUGGACGCGAGUCUGAACCAGCCAAGUAGCGUGAAGGAUGACUGCCCUAUGGGUUGUAAACUUCUUUUAUAUGGGAAUAAAGUUGUCCACGUGUGGAUUUUUGUAUGUACCAUAUGAAUAAGGAUCGGCUAACUCCGUGCCAGCAGCCGCGGUAAUACGGAGGAUCCGAGCGUUAUCCGGAUUUAUUGGGUUUAAAGGGAGCGUAGGCGGAUUGUUAAGUCAGUUGUGAAAGUUUGCGGCUCAACCGUAAAAUUGCAGUUGAUACUGGCAGUCUUGAGUGCAGUAGAGGUGGGCGGAAUUCGUGGUGUAGCGGUGAAAUGCUUAGAUAUCACGAAGAACUCCGAUUGCGAAGGCAGCUCACUGGAGUGUAACUGACGCUGAUGC
rnacentral:rRNA from 1 species